rnacentral:rRNA from 1 species
GACGAACGCUGGCGGCGUGCUUAACACAUGCAAGUCGAGCGGAAAGGCCCUUCGGGGUACUCGAGCGGCGAACGGGUGAGUAACACGUGAGUAACCUGCCCCAGACUUUGGGAUAACCCUCGGAAACGGGGGCUAAUACCGGAUACGACACAGCUUCGCAUGGGGUCUGUGUGGAAAGUUUUUCGGUUUGGGAUGGGCUCGCGGCCUAUCAGCUUGUUGGUGGGGUGAUGGCCUUCCAAGGCGACGACGGGUAGCCGGCCUGAGAGGGCGACCGGCCACACUGGGACUGAGACACGGCCCAGACUCCUACGGGAGGCAGCAGUGGGGAAUAUUGCACAAUGGGCGGAAGCCUGAUGCAGCGACGCCGCGUGAGGGAUGACGGCCUUCGGGUUGUAAACCUCUUUCAGCAGGGACGAAGCGUAAGUGACGGUACCUGCAGAAGAAGCGCCGGCCAACUACGUG